AUCGAUGAAGAACGCAGCGAAAUGCGAUAAGUAAUGUGAAUUGCAGAAUUCAGUGAAUCAUCGAAUCUUUGAACGCACCUUGCGCUCCUUGGUAUUCCGAGGAGCAUGCCUGUUUGAGUGUCAUUAAAUUCUCAACCUUCCAACUUUUAUUAGCUUGGUUAGGCUUGGAUGUGGGGGUUGUGGGCUUCAUUAAUGAGGUCGACUCUCCUUAAAUGCAUUAGCGGAACUUUUGUGGACCGUCUAUUGGUGUGAUAAUUAUCUACGCCGUGGAUGUGAAGCAACUUUAUGAAGUUCAGCUUCUAACCGUCCAUUAAUUUGGACAAUUUUGAAAAUUUGACCUCAAAUCAGGUAGGACUACCCGCUGAACUUAAGCAUAUCAAUAAGCGGAGGAAAAGAAACUAACAAGGAUUCCCCUAGUAACUGCGAGUGAAGCGGGAAAAGCUCAAAUUUAAAAUCUGGCAGCCUUUGGCUGUCUGAGUUGUAAUCUAGAGAAGUAUUAUCCGCGCUGGACCGUGUACAAGUCUCCUGGAAUGGAGCGUCAUAGAGGGUGAGAAUCCCGUCUUUGACACGGACUGCCAGGGCUUUGUGAUGUGCUCUCAAAGAGUCGAGUUGUUUGGGAAUGCAGCUCAAAAUGGGUGGUAAAUUCCAUCUAAAGCUAAAUAUUGGCGAGAGACCGAUAGCGAACAAGUACCGUGAGGGAAAGAUGAAAAGAACUUUGGAAAGAGAGUUAAACAGUACGUGAAAUUGCUGAAAGGGAAACGCUUGAAGUCAGUCGCGUUGGCCAGGGAUCAACCUUGCUUUUUUGCUUGGCUUACUUUCUGGUCGAUGGGUCAGCAUCAAUUUUGACUGGUGGAAAAAGUUCAAGGGAAUGUGGCAUCUUCGGAUGUGUUAUAGCCUUUGUUCGCAUACAUCGGUUGGGAUUGAGGAACUCAGCACGCCGCAAGGCCGGGUUUUUAACCACGUACGUGCUUAGGAUGCUGGCAUAAUGGCUUUAAUCGACCCGUCUUGAAACACGG
rnacentral:rRNA from 1 species